ensembl:lncRNA
CGGGAAACUAACACUGCACAUCACUCUGAACACACCAUCCCCACUGUCAAAUAUGGUGGUGGCAGCAUCAUGCUCUGGGGGUGCUUCUCUUCAGCAGGGACAGGGAAGCUGGUCAGAGUUGAUGGGAAGAUGGAUUGAGCCAAAUACAGGGCAAUCUUGGAAGAAAACCUCUUGGAGUCUGCAAAAGACUUGAGUACGGUGUACAUUUUAGGACAUCGUCAGGUCUCAAGAAAAAAGUUGUCAGGUAUCAGACAAAAAAUUGUCAGGUCUCAGUUCUCAAAAAAAAAGUUGUCAGGUAUCAGACAAAAAAUUGUCAGGUCUCAGUUCUCAAAAAAAAAUUGUCAGGUCUCAGACAAAAAAUUGUCAGGUCUCAGUUCUCAAAAAAAAGUUGUCAGGUAUCAGACAAAAAAUUGUCAGGUCUCAGUUCUCAAGAAAAAAGUUGUCAGGUAUCAGACAAAAAAUUGUCAGGUCUCAGUUCUCAAGAAAAAAGUUGUCAGGUCUCAGACAAAAAAUUGUCAGGUCUCAGUUCUCAAAAAAAAAGCUGUCAGGUAUCAGACAAAAAAUUGUCAGGUCUCAGUUCUCAAAAAAAAUUGUCAGGUAUCAGACAAAAAAUUGUCAGGUCUCAGUUCUCAAAAAAAAUUGUCAGGUAUCAGACAAAAAAUUGUCAGGUCUCAGUUCUCAAAAAAAAAGUUGUCAGGUAUCAGACAAAAAAUUGUCAGGUCUCAGUUCUCAAGAAAAAAGUUGUCAGGUAUCAGACAAAAAAAUGUCAGGUCUCAGUUCUCAAGAAAAAAGUUGUCAGGUAUCAGACAAAAAAUUGUCAGGUCUCAGUUCUCAAGAAAAAAGUUGUCAGGUAGAACACAAGGUACCAUACAGAGAGAAAAUCUUCCUGCAGGUGGCGGUGUUGUCAUGUCCCACCCAAUGACACGACAGCUCCCCAAAAAUGAAGCCAAAACGUCUCUAUCGCCCCCUGGUGUCUGGCUGCAGUAUAUACGUCAUAAACCCCACCUCCUCCACAUUAGCGGAUGGGACUGGGGUCAGACUAAAAUAAAGUUAUUCUCCUCAGAUAAUUUUUUUCCAAAGAUUCUUUCUUUUGUUAUCAAUAGUUCUCAUCACACUGAUUGAUGUUCAAGGGGUCUCCUCUCCCAUAAGUUUGAUUCUAAUUCCUACCGCGGUGAUGUUAAAUUGGGGUGAAACGUCAUCAUAACAGCUUUGACUGGCAGCUGCAGUUACGGAGAAACUUGCGUAUCUCUGUUCGGGAAUA